AACGAACGCUGGCGGCAGGCCUAACACAUGCAAGUCGAGCGAGGACUUCGGUCCUAGCGGCGGACGGGUGAGUAACGCGUGGGAACGUGCCCUUUGCUUCGGAAUAGCCCUGGGAAACUGGGAGUAAUACCGGAUGAGCCCUUUGGGGGAAAGAUUUAUCGGCGAAGGAUCGGCCCGCGUUGGAUUAGGUAGUUGGUGGGGUAAUGGCCUACCAAGCCGACGAUCCAUAGCUGGUUUGAGAGGAUGAUCAGCCACACUGGGACUGAGACACGGCCCAGACUCCUACGGGAGGCAGCAGUGGGGAAUCUUAGACAAUGGGGGAAACCCUGAUCUAGCCAUGCCGCGUGAGCGAUGAAGGCCUUAGGGUUGUAAAGCUCUUUCAGCUGGGAAGAUAAUGACGGUACCAGCAGAAGAAGCCCCAGCUAACUCCGUG
rnacentral:rRNA from 1 species